rnacentral:lncRNA from 1 species
GUUGCCUAAGCAACCCGGGCACUCUCGGGGAGUUAGUGGACCGCCGACCUGUGACCGGAGCUUUCGUUAGAUCGUCACCUGUACCUGCGAAAAAGCCCAAACUUAGCCUCGUUUAAGACAUACCACAGACGCUGGACUCUUCUGAAAAACCUGUCACGUCGGCUUGGUCUCUCUUGCUUGUAAACAUUGAUAACUGACAUGCAGACUGGGGUGGAGAGAAGAUAAACAACUUGCUCAGACAUACGGUAAAAGGUUGGAAUAUACCAAUAAAUAUGCUGUUGCUGCUUUAACAAGCCACUUCCUUUUGUUGCCAUAUUCAACCAAAAUGUAGAUUGCUAUAGCCUAAGAAACCACGUUGGACUAAAGUGGUGAGAACCAAAAUCCUUGUCUUGCUCCUGAUCUUAGGAGGAAAGCUUUCAGUCUUUCACCAUUUGUUUUCAGUCUUCACCAUACGAAAUUCCAAUGCUCAACCAAGUGCUCCAAGUGGAAGGCCAAGUCUCAGUUGGUAUACCAGGUUGGGUUGUGGACAUCAGAAGCCAGGAGAAGCAGUAACAAGCUAGAGUGGCCCCAUGUACCAGGACAAGGAUGGCCUGGGCUAGUCUCCUUGAGGAUGAGAGACCACGUGGAGCAGAGACAUGAACCACCCAGCCUGCCUGUAGCCCAUCAGUGUGAAGGAGGCCACCUGGGACCUCCAGCUCCAGCUGACGCACCAGCUGCCUGCAGACCCACUGACUUGUAAACAAUAAAAUUGUUAUUGUAAGCCUU